CCAUUCCGAUCGUCUUGUGAUCUAGAUCAGUGGUCCCCAACCUUUUUGAGGCUGCGGACCGGUCAACACAUGAAGAUUUUACCACGGGCCGGUGGCAAGGGGUCCACGCUCCGGUACCGUAAGAUUAUGCCAUUUUUAGCCAAAAUUAAAACAAGCUGUGUUGUUUUCUACGACGUAGUUUCUGCAGAGCAGCAGGAUUUUAUCAGAAAUUUGUCUCUGAGUUGUGGGCAGGACUUUUGGCAUGGAGUAAGCCUACCUUCUUCCCAUCAUCCAUCUGUUCAAACCCUCUCCCGCUAUCUUAGAGCCCAUCACUACCUUAACCUAAAAUUACCAGUGCAAAUAAAAUGGCGAACAAUAUCGGACCUGUCCAAUUAUUUCCUAGAUUAUUUCCCCUAGAUCAGAGAUCCCCAUACUUUUUUGUGAGAGGGUCACAUAAUUGUUUUCUUCUCUUAUGUAGGGCUGGGGUCAAUUUGAAUUUCGAAAAUUACAUGGGAUUACUCACUUUCUUAUUUUGUUUAUAAAGUCAAUGUCUGUUCUUCUGUCCCUGCAGUAAUCACUUGUUCGACCCGGUGGUUGGGGACCACUGCCCAAAAUUCCUCCAGUAUUGGAGCUUUCCAGCCACACGGUUUUGAGGGUUUCAUCAGACCAAGACUGCAAAAAGAUCUUCAAAGUCAUCUCAUCUUUCUUCGGGACAGCAAAAAAAGAAAGAAAUAUGAGUGCAAAACAGUAAAUUACAUCAAUCACUGUCACUGUCCGAGAUAUGCUCAGCAGUAAAUGUCCUUCGAUGUUGAUACCUACACUUGAUCAGCUCACUUUCAGUCAAAGAAGGCAAAAGACCUGAAAAGUCAUCCAACACUGCAUUAAGGACGCACUGCUUUGUGAUGGUGUCAUUGGCCUUUAAAAUGUCUGAUUAUUAAAAUGUUUUUUUUGGCUUUAUUUUGAAAAGUUCUGCUUCUCCUUCUUAUUUGUGCAGAAAUGGUAAAAGCAUAGAGUGAAUGGUGACCACAGAUCCACGCCUUCCUAAAGCAGAAACACAACUCAACCCUCUGCUGAACGUUUUAAAAGGUUUUCAUAGUCUUCUCACAGACAUAUGGCAAGCUGAAGGUCAUCUGCAGCGUGCUGUGUGUGUGUGUCAAACGAACACUAACUUGAAUAAUUGAAUGUAAGGAAGUGUAUGAAUACUGAUGAACCACAGGGAAUAACAGAUGUGUGGUUUCAGUAGUUGCUUCAGUAUGAAUUUAAGGGGGAAAUUUGCUGGAACUGGCAAGCAGAACUCUGCCAUGUCCCAUUGCCAACUGAGCCUUGGAAUUUGUCUUUUAUUCUGCCUUUCUCUUUUACACGAUUAUUUACCGACUCCAAAAAAAAAGAGUGGUAUCCUUAUAAAGAAAAUGAUAACUCCUCACCUGUGAAGGACUUUCAAAUAAAUGUGUCGUUUCUGUUUAAGGGGUAUAAGCGCCGCGCAGCAUAAAGGCUGCUGGAUUUUAAAAAUGAAUGGUAAAUUUAUAAAAAUUCACAUGUGAAAGCUGCCUACAUUCCAGGCCUCGGUUAUGGGCUAUAAUUAGCAGAGCCUAUUAUUCUGACAACAGCUGUCCUACAAUGGAACUGUGGUGCAGAAGGAUACAUUUUCUGCACAUGGUACAAGCUGUUUCCAUGCUAAAAACCAAGGAAAAAGAGAGGAACGUUCCUCUGCUAAGUAUUACGUGAUUAGGCUUAGCUGAGACGAUUUAAAUAUUUUAUCGACUAAGCAUAAAUAUGCUAGGACUAUAUUACAGCUUCAGGUCGUACUGUGUAUUACAUCUAUUUCCAAUUAAAUACAUGAAUCCAGCACUCCCGUUUUACCAUAAAGAACAGAAUGACUGCUGGCAAAGAUGCAAAACUGGUCCAAGGAUUUAAGUCUGUGUUCAAGGCUGUUGGAGCACAAAACCGAUAAAAAGAAAAAUGAGUAUGCAGAGAUUAGCAUGGAAGGAGACCCUUUAACUCUGUUUAUGGAAGCAAAAUGCUUUUGCUUGGAGAGUAAAUCCCUUUAGAGGCAGCGAUUUAACCGCUGUUUGCAUAUCUGCCUGGAUUUGCAUCAGCUUCAAGAGUCCACCCCAUCAGGCAAUCCUGUGAGCACCUACAGUGACAUUGUCCUUCCCCAAUCUUUCAGCAGCAGAUAUCAUUCAUGACCCCAUCAGUAACAAAACUCCAACACUCACAUUCUCUUUCAUCUUUAAUAAAUCAACACGGCUACACCCACGGAUUCCCGUGGCCUUCAGGAGGGGAAUUUAUCAUUCAGCUGUUGACCAAAUCUGGCGCAACCCAAGCUUUACUGGCAACAGCGUCAGAGGUUACAUACAUUUUGUUGAUUUAUCGGCAUGAUAUACUGGACAUGGCAAAAUAAAAUAUGGUCCUCGGGACAUAAGCCAUUUAUCUUGGAACCAAUCUUCACCACAAGGACAAGCAAAAGAGGAAAACUGUGUGUAAAAUAAACAAAACAGUUUUUUCUAUGCCUGAAGUCAUCGUAUGCAGAGAGCUGCCUCACUUUCCAGAUUUGUAUUUGCCAGAAUCUGUUUGUAAUUUUAGAGGAUCCUUCUGAUGCUACGUUCACACCCGCCUCAGCAAUCCACAUUCAAGCAGGCAUUUCAAAUGAAAAGUCUAUGUAAACGCCUGUAAAUGUGUAUUGUGGGCUUCCACAUUUAAAACUCUUGCAUUCAUGCAUUGCUGCUUAAGUUUCUAAAUUUGUUUUAGGAUUCCACAGAAAGUACAACCAUUGAAUGUGCUUUGAAAGUAGGGCUGGGCGAUACUCAGCGAUUGAAUAUCAAUUUGACACUGAUCUGAUACUGGUCAAUAUUGCAAAUAUUGAUACCAAUAUCAAUAUUUUGGGUAAAUGUGGUGGAUGUGCCAUGAACCUCAAAAUCUCAGUUGUUUUUAAUUACAGUGAAUUAUUUUUUUGUAAGUUUCCCAUUUUUAAUUAUUUGAUAAACAUAAAAACAGAAUUAGGCCAACAUUUUCUGUUAAAUGGAAAACAGUUUAUUAAAGUAAAAACUUAUUGAAAUUAAAAAGGAAGUGAAGAAGUAAAUGCAAAGUAUUCAACAGACACAAAAAGAAAAAAAACAGACAACUAUUAUACAAAAAUAAAUAAAAA